CCAGAUUUUCGGCUGAUUGCCCGCUUUGGCGGGAGGAAAGUCCGGGCAGCACAUGGACAAUGGCAGUUGCUAACGGCAACCGGGGGGAACCCUAGGGAAAGUGCCACAGAAACGACACAACCUGUCUUCCUAAAGAAGGCCGGAAAUGGUGAAACGAGUGGGGUAAAAGCCCACGGCUGUGCCUGGUGACUGGCACAGGAGGUAAACCCUGCCUGCUGCAAGGAGAUAUGUCGCAUAUAGAGUGUCCGCUCGCGGCUUGUCAUAAGAACCGCUCGAAUCUAUUGGCAACGAUAGAUCUAGAUAGAUAAUCAGCUAAAACAGAACCCGGCUUACGGAAAGUCUGGCCCU
rnacentral:RNase_P_RNA from 1 species